AUUGAACGCUGGCGGCAGGCCUAACACAUGCAAGUCGAACGAGUGGCGGACGGGUGAGUAAUGUCUGGGAAACUUCCUGAUGGAGGGGUAUAACUACUGGAAACGGUAGCUAAUACCGCAUACCAUCAGAUGUUCCCAGAUGGGAUUAGCUUGUUGGUGGGGUAACGGCUCACAAAGGCGACGAUCCCUAGCUGGUGUGAGAGGAUGACCGGCCAAACUGGAACUGAGAGACGGUCCAGACUCCUACGGGAGGCAGGAGUGGGGAAAAUUGCACAAUGGGCGAAAGCCUGAUGCAGCCAUGCCGCGUGUAUGAAGAAGGCCUUCGGGUUGUAAAGUACUUUCAGCGGGGAGGCGUUACCCGCAGAGGAAGCACCGGCUAACUCCGUGCCAGCCGCCGCGGUAAUUC
rnacentral:rRNA from 1 species